UACGUAGGGCGCAAGCGUGUCCGGAAUUAUUGGGCGUAAAGAGCUUGUAGGCGGCCUGUUACGUCUGCUGUGAAAUCCCGGGGCUUAACCCCGGGCGUGCAGUGGAUACGGGCAGGCUGGAGGCAGGCAGGGGAGAACGGAAUUCCCGGUGUAGCGGUGAAAUGCGUAGAUAUCGGAAGGAACAUCAGUGGCGAAGGCGACUUUCUGGACAAAUACUGGACACUGAGGCACGAAAGCAUGGGGAGCAAACAGG
rnacentral:rRNA from 1 species